GGAAAAAAGGGAAAUCUCAUAAGAGUCAAAUCUGGUUUUUCCCUCCAAAAAUGCUUUCUGGUACAUUUUGCUACUGAAGAAAAAAACAAAAACAAACUUUAAAUGGUUGAUAAAACAUUUUCAGGCUCAAUCUUAAACAAACUAAAAUUCACUCACAAGUUGUGGUCAUUUAAGUUUCUAAGAAAGCUCAAAUAAACUGUAGUUCCAGGAGAAAAAACCCCUGCAAUUAUAUGUAGUUUACUUUUAUUUUAAAUCCAAACACACCUCACACUUUUACUGCUUUUAAAGUCAAAACCAGUGACACAGAAAAUCACUUCCAAAUAUUUGCAGUGAUCAAAAGCUAAACAGCUCUGCACAAAGCCUCAUAUCAGAGUUUGAAAGUCUUACUUUACACGUCUGGAUGUUUUUUUUAUUGACGCUGUUUGCAAAAUAAUCGGUUUCAUCACAUCACACAGAUUCUUUGUUCAGCAUUUUGUCUUUUACUACAGCAUGUUAAAUAAUAAGAGUAAAGUCUCAUAUGAUCGUUUUUUUAAUCACGUGGGUUUGUGGAAUCGCACAAAAGGUUACAACAACUGAGCAAAACAUUUGAGAGCAAACAAACAGAGACAUCAGAGAGGACGGGUUCAUGAUGCUAGAACGCUAGCUCAGACGGGAAUGACUGCUUGUGCCAAAUGUGCCUCACAUCUGCAGUUUUCUUUGGCUGUCUGGAUAGUUAGCCGACUGUAUCCACAGACUCUAUUGGUGCAGCUUUGUAGACACAGAUCCGGCUAAUUAGUUAAUAACUGAUGAGUAAAGCCCUAAAAUUCCACUCACCAAACUGGAACUCGGGUAUGUUAGAUCAGCGGUCUCCAACCUUUUCUGCGCCACGGGCCGGUUUAUGCCCGACAAUAUUUUCACGGACCGACCUUUAAGGUGUCGCGGAUAAAUACAACAAAAUAAAACUAGUACUGGUACCGAAAAAAAGAAGAUUUAUUCAUAACACACGUGAACAGACCCAGGAAAACCGAGAUAACGAUAAAAACGAUAACAAAAUAACACUGAAACCGAUAAAAACCCUGAAAACCAGACAUUUCACACCUGAGCCUCAACUCUCACCGCCCGGUACCAAACGACUCACGGACCGGUACCGGUCUGAGGCCCGGGGGUUGGGGACCGCUGUGUUAGAUGAUCUGUUUGUACAUUUAACUGCACAGCAGUCAUAUUAGUGGUUAAAUAAAUACUCCAACAGCACAAACACGGUCCAGAGGUCCAUUUCAGGGACUCCAAUCAGCUGUGGUGAAAUAGCCGAGGUGAUUCACAGCUGUCAGUCACAGACACCAAAGAUAAGUCACAUCCAGCACAGUUAUCAUGAGGAUGCAAAACAGCUGCAGGGAUAGAGUGGAUAUCAGAGGAACUGCAGCUCUGGCUUCAUCUUUCUGUUUUGCAGGUGUAACCUUGGCUCACAUACAGUCUGCAGUAAACUGUCUCAUGUGUGUUUCCCUUACAAUGUUCGCCAGGUUGUUUUUUUGUUCUGGUUUGGUGUCUUUUUGUAAUCCAAUGCAUGUGAUUCAGCACGUCUGCACAAUGAAACACUGAGUGUUAUAAUCCUGAGUGUGUGAUGAUCCUAACCUCACAGAGGCACAGAGUUUAUCGAAGGUUCACUUGAAGAAAACAGAAUUUUCUGUUUUUUUGGUUUGGUCUCUAUAAAUGCAGCUUCAGGGUUUGUUUAUGUUACCAGGAUGGAGUAAAAAUGCAUCAACUUUUGUUUGUUUUUAAAAAAGAAGCUGUUUUACAGACUCAUAGAGCAUUAACGUCUCUGUGAACUAGUUUGUCCUCUGAAGGCCAGAGACAGGCUUUUGCUUUAUUAUGAAAGGAAUAAAAAGGCAAAUUUAUGAGACUAAAUAUUUAAGACUAAAGAUAAAAAAUCACUGUAAUUUUAUAUGCAUGAAACCAAGAAAAAUGUUACUCUGCUUAUUUCUUUGCUGUGUUUGAAACAUCCAGUGUCAGCACAACAACUGUUAAAUUUAUCUGCCCGUGUUUUUGGUUUGUGAGCUGUUCACACGGGACACUCUGUUAAUGCCGUGAAAGUUCUUAUUAAAACUGUUUUGUUCACAG
ensembl:lncRNA